GACGUAGGGUCCAAGCGUUGGUCCGGAUUUACUGGGCGUAAAGAGCGCGUAGGCGGUCUGAUAAGUGUGAAGUGAAAUCUCCAGGGCUCAACCCGGAAACUGCUUUACAUACUGUCAGACUGGAGUGAUGAAGAGGUUUGUGGAAUUCCUGGUGUAGCGGUGAAAUGCGCAGAUAUCAGGAGGAACACCGGUGGCGAAGGCGGGUCUCUGGGCCGAUACUGACGCUGGAGGAGCGAAAGCGUCGGGGAGCGAACAGG
rnacentral:rRNA from 1 species